GAAAGGUGCUUUCUUUCACGUCCGCAUUUCUAUCAAGUAUGGCAUGCCAAAUUAACAUUUAUGGCAACGAUUAUCAUUGAUGGCGAAAAUGAUUCACAAAACUGUAUAUUUAAUGAGGGCCUGGACAGGGUAUUGGGAGCAUGGGAGAGAGGGGCCGGAGAAGGGAGAGAGGAGAGAAGGGGCAGGAGAAAGGAGAAAAGGG
rnacentral:lncRNA from 1 species